CAGCAGCACAGACAGAAGGUGCUCCUACAGACAAUAAUGGACGAGGAACACAUGGAAACUAACGUUAGGAAGUAAGCCUAGAUUCUGAGAGUUCACAUGAUGAGGUUGGUGAUGACCCAGAUGUACCACCCCUGAGGAGAACUGACAGCGUAUCCGAACCUCAAGAUCCAACAGAGGACAGCGGACCUCUGAUGAGCCUGGCAGUUUUGAACCUGCAACCACAGAAACCUCAAAGAAGAGGAGUUGGUCAUUGGCAGAGGUCCACGCUGUGGAAAAGACACUAGAAUGUGGUAAAGUACCAGGGAAGUCAGAGUGUGUUGCCUGUAUUAAGGCUUCACCAGGAGCACUUACAAAAUAGAAUUAUUUUGGUUUCCUUUCAUAGCAGUAGAGGCUACAAUGAUUUUAGCAGUGACUUGUCUGUCAAAGAUCCAUUAGUCAUAAUUGGCUAAACUGCAUCUAAUGUGUGACUUCACAGCGGUACUAACAAUAUGCAAUUACAGUUUUUUUC